ACGCCGAGCUGACAUGGUGUCACUGAUGUGAGUAAUGUGCACGUUGUCGUCUCCAGGGUGACGCUCGGCGAUGGAUCUCAGUGGCUGAUCCAUAAAGGAAACCACUACGGCGUCUCCUCGGACACCGUGGUGACCCCCGCUGACAUCAUGAGCUCCAGGUGGAGGGUUGUGGAGACUGCGGAUUUCCAGGGGAGGAAGACCGUGGGGGACUUCGUGGAGACCGGCGGCUCCGAAUACAACUUCCUGUUCGAUAACUGUCACUGGGCGUCUCGUCGGAUGAUGAACCAGUGAAC